CCACGGGCGGCAGCAGUGGGGAAUAUUGGACAAUGGGCGAAAGCCUGAUCCAGCCAUGCCGCGUGUGUGAAGAAGGCCUUCGGGUUGUAAAGCACUUUCAGUGGGGAAGAAAGCCUUGGGGCUAAUACCCUCGAGGAAGGACAUCACCCACAGAAGAAGCACCGGCUAACUCCGUGCCAGCAGCCGCGGUAAUACGGAGGGUGCGAGCGUUAAUCGGAAUUACUGGGCGUAAAGCGCGCGUAGGCGGUCUGAUAAGCCGGUUGUGAAAGCCCCGGGCUCAACCUGGGAACGGCAUCCGGAACUGUCAGGCUAGAGUGCAGGAGAGGAAGGUAGAAUUCCCGGUGUAGCGGUGAAAUGCGUAGAGAUCGGGAGGAAUACCAGUGGCGAAGGCGGCCUUCUGGACUGACACUGACGCUGAGGUGCGAAAGCGUGGGUAGCAAACAGGAUUAGAUACCCUUGUAGUC
rnacentral:rRNA from 1 species